ACAGUCUUCAGUUCUGAUACCAUGCUCUGCAGCUGAGGCAACACCAGUAGAGCAGAGAGAAGAGAAAGACAUACCUUGUGAUGGUUGCGGGCAGAAAACGUACAAAUUCCUUUUUGACAAGAUUUUCAGAGGCUCAAAGACUGGCGCAGAAAGGUGGCCCACUGAGGAAAGCUCCGUCUCUUCUUUCGGCCCGCC